AACAAACCACCUUCUAUUAGGUAUAUCAUUUUGCGAUUUACAAUAAAACCAUAAUAGCCACAAUUUUGAGUAGGUCCUAGGCAUAGUGCCUAUUGUGCUAAUACGUUAAUACGACCCUACCAUAACUUGUCGAAAAUAUGAUUCCGAUGGAAAAGUGAAUAUCUUUGGUGCAUUAUAGAGGUUAAAAGUAAGAAAUUUCCAGUAAUUUUCAAAAAAAUUUGGGAAAAACUACCAAAAAGUGACAGAAAACGGAAAUUUUUACGCAAAACAUCAAUAAUUUAAUAUAAUAUUAUACUCACAGAUGACAGAUCUGUGAUUAUACCACUGUUGGGAACCCCUGACUGUAGUGUUAAGAGUAUUCUAGACAUAAAGAUAUUUUAGCCAUGUAAGCAUAUUGUCUUUAAAAUGUUUACUUUUAUUUUUGAUUAUUCAUAGUAUAACGGAAUCGCUGUCUAAUGUACGUAUUUGACGAGUUAGUUGUGUAAAGCCAACGAUUCAGUUAAGACCAGUGUAAAUCAAAUUCAUUUAAUAACGGUGUUUAAAUAUUAAAAUAAGUAAGUUUACUUCUCUUAGACAAUUUAGUUUUAUGUUGAAAAAUAUCCUAAUGUGCGAACUCAUAAAAGAAAAAUAAGUUAACGUCAAACCAGGAACCAAACCAAGUUUGACGGACUACUGGCAGUAAUCGGAACAAACCGAACAGCUGUACACAACACCACGAUUUAAAUUUUAAGAUAAUCUUAAAUCGUGGAUUAUAACUAUCUCAGUGGUAAUAUUACAGAAUAAUUCUAUGGUUUAAGAUAUAAAUAUAGUACAUGUAGUAGUUCGUGAUAUAUACUUUUGUAUAUCUUAAAUCGUGAUAAUACGAUAUAAAAUAGUGAUAAACUGAUAAUGAUAACAACGGGUAUAUUAAUAUUUUAAAUAAAAAACCGACACGCCGACGCUAAAAACAAAUGAAAUAAAAAAAAAUUAUAUUCUAAGAUUCAUGAGACAGUACGUUAUAUCAACGUAGUUCACCAGUCAAAAUUAUGAACACAGGAUGAGCAACCGUGAAUAGUUGUUGUGAAGUACAGGUAAACUAAAUAAAUGUACAUUGCUCUUAUGAUAUUAAUAUAUGCGGACGCGGAUAAAAUUAUACAGAAAUUAGAGACUAGACUGUUUUUAAUUUAACAACCCUACUAUUAAAAUAGAAAAGAGGAACAGAUGAGUGAUUGCAGUACAAUCCAUAACAGCAAAGCAGUAAUCGAGGAAAAACAUCGUCGAGCAGCACCCAUCAACAAGUACACUCGCCAUAAACCAAGGAAACCCAUUACAGUGGAAAAACCAUUUUGUAUUAUAAGUCUAUAAAAAACAUGUUCUUUUAAAUUUUGGUAAAAAUAGUGCAUUGCAAAAGUACUUUCCCCAACACUCUGAGUUUAAUUUCUAUUUUAUUAAUACCUAUCACUCAUUUUAGGGCAACAUUUUUAACAAUUACUUCUAUUGUAUUUAAUAUAGAAUUGCAAUAUCAUGGUAUACAAACACAGGAAUCCCAAUAAAUACCAAUUCCACUUACAAAGAGACUCAAGAACUACCGCAGUAACAACUACAAAAGUAACAACGCAUAUACUAUCAAAUGUGACCUAAAAUUUUCACGCAGUUUUCAAUUUGAAGACAUAAGAGAAUGUAAAAUUGAAUGAACAAUAAGGGACUAGACUGUUUUUAAGAAUAUGUUUGAAUAUUUGGGAACAAAAAUUAAUGGCACUACGUUUUAGAUAGUCAAGCAAAACAGCUGAAUAAUUCCAGCCCAACGUCAAUGGCAGCAAAGCAGAUACAGAGGAAAUAACACAUCUAGCAGCAAUCAUCCACCAGUAAAAGAAACAAAAAACAAGGAAAACAAGAGUGGAAAACAGGAGCAACAUAACCAGUGGAAUAUAAUUUUAUUCUUUUGAUACAAAACCCGUAACAUUAGCUCUAACCAUUUUAUAAAAUUAUUUUUUACAUAAUAUAUCACUAAGCUAUAAGGUAAAAAUCCAAAACCAAAUUUCAUAUCAUAACAAUGUGGAAAUACAUAAUCUUAAUUAAGUUUCAUAAUAAAAAAACCCAGUUAUUAUUUCACCAAGUUAAAACUAUAACCAUAAAAAUCAUUUUAAAAUGUAG